rnacentral:rRNA from 1 species
CUCUCGGCAAUGGAUAUCUCGGCUCUCGCAUCGAUGAAGAGCGCAGCAAAAUGCGAUACGUGGUGCGAAUUGCAGAAUCCCGCGAACCA